rnacentral:tRNA from 1 species
GCGAGAGUGGUGGAACUGGCAGACACGCAAGAUUUAGGAUCUUGUGCUGCAAGGCGUGGGGGUUCGAGUCCCCCCUCUCGCACCA